rnacentral:lncRNA from 9 species
GCGGCGGGAAAGGGAGGGAGCUGGGCGGGCGCCCGACCGGGACACCCAGGCGGGGGUCGAGAAGGUGGUUUCUCCCCCGCCCUCGGGCAAGCGGCGAGGGAGGAGGCUGCCGUCAAGCUGGGUUCGCGACCGGCUGGGGGGAUCGAUGACUCGGCCGGUGGGCACGGCCACCUGGAGAAGGCGGGGGCAGCCGCGGAAACAGCUUUUUACAAGGUUGCCUUGUAUUUGAACUGGUGUGAGAGAUCCUUAUUUGGAACCAUCGUGGGUCUUAAAAGGCUCAAAGACACAGAUCACUGAUGGUUUUGUUUUGUUUCUCUUGUCCUGAAGAAGAGUUUUAAGUAGUAAGCAGAAACAUAUAAGGCUUCUUGAGGUCGAGACUCCAAACUGACACACUGGCACUUCUGUCUCAUUCUGUUGGCCAGAGCAGGUUAUGUGACCAAGUAAAACUCAAGGGGUAGGGAAACAGAAUUCACCUCUUUAGAGAAAUGACAAAGUGACAUGAAGGGGUGAAGAAGUGGAACCAUUAAUACCAUGGUAGGGAUGACUGGAGCAUGUUUGAAAAGUAUAAAGAAUUUGUAGGAUGAAGAAGAAAAUGAAGAAGAAAGAUCACUACCAUAGGUCAGAGAAUUAACUUUUGAAAAAAGGAACAGUACUUCUGGGAAUGGAAAGAAGGGGCAUUUGACUGAAUUAUAUUUAGCAAAUUAAAAUACAGGAUGUCCAGUAAUUUUUUAAACUUCAGAUAAACAAUGAAUAAGUUUUUAGUAUUAAGUACCUGCAUACAAUCUUUGGUAGGCUCUCAGUACAUAGUUGGCUAUUUUUAUUAGUUUAAAUACUAUUUAAAUAUUUCUAUCAUACAAUAUUUUGGACAUACUUAUCCCAAAAUAUGAUUCCUUUUUAUUUGAAAUUCAGAUGUUACCAGGCAUCCUGUGUCUUAAUCUGACAGCCCUAUUUUGGUUGACUUUUAAAUAAAGCCAUGGUAAGAUAACCUACAAAGGACUAGCAAGGUGCUUUGGGGGAUUUAAUCCUGGAAGAAGUUUGGAACAGCUGCAGUGGAUGCUGUGCACUGCCCAAGAGAGGACUGCCAAGCAGCAGGGAAGGCCCACUGACCAAGAGGCAGCACAACUCUUCAUUGCAUCAGCAGUGGUACUUCACUGCUGGGUGCAGAAGUGGGACGAAGGUGGCAGGUACAGGUGACCACCUUGGUUUGACUGUGUAGGAGAGGCCUGGGAAGGAGUUUGGGCAUAGUUGAAAUGACUAGGGGGUCCAGGUUGUACAGGAAAACAGGUGAAACCAGAAGGAAUUGGGAGGCAAAGGUAAAAGUGAGUCAAAGAGGUGGAAGUUCCCAGAGAAGUAGAAUUUACAGUCUUGGAAGAAUAGUUCUGUGAUAAUGGGGUUAAAAAUCCAAUUUCACGAGAGAACUAGAGCUAAAUUAAAAGCAAGAGCUCUGGAGACAAAGUACCUAGUUUUGCAUUCUAGUUGUAUGAUUUUGGUCAAAUAAUUAAACUUCCCUAUGACUUAGUUUUUUUUUUUUCUUUUGUAAAUCAUGAAUAAUAAUGGAUCUCAUAACCUCGUAGGGUUAUUGUGAGAAUUAAGUGAAAUAAACUACAUGAAGGUACCUAGAACAGUAUGUCUGGUGUUUGCUAUGUUUUAUUAUUUAUAUACCACUUGCAUGUAUCUAUAAUCAAUAAAUGUGAGUGCAUUAAAGAAUAUUGUUUGAAAGAAAAAAGGCACAUGUACAGUGUAUGUUCUGCCUUAGCUAACAAAUGCUAGGUUUGGUAAAUACCAUUAGCUACUUGUUUAAGUUGGAGCUCAAAGAGCCUUUACCACUUAAGGUUGUUUUCUUUACUGUUAUUAUAAGAAAAUAAUUGUCAUGCUCAAGUCAUAUCUGUCUCCUCACUUCCCCCUAGGUGACCAUGCUUUGGGAUUUUCAUAGUUUGAGUAAUUCCUCCGGGCUCUGCCACCCAGCAAGUUAAAGAGGACAAGAUUCCUCACUGGGGGUUGUGGUUCUGGGAAUGUGAGCAGCUUGUUUUCAUGAAUUCUGCACCCUGACCUGGCCUACUGUUAGGAGCUGUUGUGUUGGUAGUGGCGGUGUUUUUAGUUAUUUCCUCCACCUUCCACAGUUACUUGUAUAUAAAGAUUUUUGAAAAGUGAAUGUUUUAUGGGGAUGUUUUGCUUAUGCAACGAAAAAUUAAAACUGUUUCAAAGUAA